UUUGGGGGUUUCGGGCAUGUAGAAAUUUGAGUUCUAAGGAUUUAAGUGAUUAAACCAGAU
rnacentral:tRNA from 1 species